rnacentral:rRNA from 1 species
CUCUGUCCUAAGGGAAGAAACAAAUGACGGUACCUUAGGAGGAAGCCCCGGCUAACUACGUGCCAGCAGCCGCGGUAAUACGUAGGGGGCAAGCGUUAUCCGGAAUCACUGGGCGUAAAGGGUGCGUAGGCGGCUUAGCAAGCCAGGGGUGAAAGGCAUUGGCUCAACCAAUGUAAGCCUUUGGUAACUGUUAAGCUUGAGUGCAGGAGAGGUAAGUGGAAUUCCUAGUGUAGAGGUGAAAAUUCGUAGAUAUUAGGAGGAACACCAGUGGCGAAGGCGACUUACUGGACUGUAACUGACGCUGAUGCACGAAAGCGUGGGUAGCGAACAGGAUUAGAUACCCCUGGUAG